GCUUAUUUUAUUUGGAAACCAUGCUCAGAGGAAGACACAGUCUGAAACCCAGUUUGACUGCUGAUCUUCUCUGGGGUCUUUGUUGAGUGCAAGGAGGUGUGUCCACACUGCCUCAUCAUCUCCCUUUGGUCAUUCACUGGGACUCUGUAUGAGUCAGCAUCCCAUCACUGUAAUAAGGUACCUGAGAUAAUCAGCUUAUAAAGAGAAAAGGUUUGUUUUGGCUUACAGGUUUGGAUGUUCCAGCUGGUAGCUGAAUGGUCCUGUUGCUCUGGGCCUGUGAC
rnacentral:lncRNA from 1 species